rnacentral:tRNA from 1 species
GCUCCCGUAGCUCAGGUGGAUAGAGCAGUGGUUUCCUAAACCAUGUGUCGGUGGUUCGAGUCCUCCCGGGAGCGCCA